CGGCUAAUAUUUUCUGAAAUCCAAAAUACAAUAAAACCAAAGAUAAAAAGGCUAUGUUAUCUCCUGAAAUGACUUGUCUGUAGCAAUACUUCAGUAAAAAUGUUUUAAAUAAACUUUUCCUAUUUUCACAGAAAGAGUAGGAGAGAAAAUGAGGAUACUGGAAAAGACACCAGUAGAGGCAAGAAGGCAUAGAAGGUUAUGAGUCUUUGGAGUGUCAGUCUUUGCACUGCUGCCUUCAGGAUCAUUUCUGGAGGACUUUCUCCGUGCUGUGCACCUAGGGUUGAGAGCAGGGGUGAAACAGGACCAACAACCCUGCUUUCUUGCUGGCUGUCACCUGAGGACCAUUCCCAGCUUUUAAAAUUAAUCUGCAAAAUUUAUAUAUAUAUAUCGGGUUUCUUGACUCAUGAUUCCAUUUCUUCAUCUUCAAAGCCAGAGAAUACGGGUGGAGUCCCUCUCAAGGGGGUCUCUUGA
rnacentral:lncRNA from 1 species